ACUCCUACGGGAGGCAGCAGUAGGGAAUCUUCCACAAUGGGCGCAAGCCUGAUGGAGCAACACCGCGUGAGUGAAGAAGGGUUUCGGCUCGUAAAGCUCUGUUGUUAAAGAAGAACACGUAUGAGAGUAACUGUUCAUACGUUGACGGUAUUUAACCAGAAAGUCACGGCUAACUACGUGCCAGCAGCCGCGGUAAUACGUAGGUGGCAAGCGUUAUCCGGAUUUAUUGGGCGUAAGGAGAGUGCAGGCGGUUUUCUAAGUCUGAUGUGAAAGCCUUCGGCUUAACCGGAGAAGUGCAUCGGAAACUGGAUAACUUGAGUGCAGAAGAGGGUAGUGGAACUCCAUGUGUAGCGGUGGAAUGCGUAGAUAUAUGGAAGAACACCAGUGGCGAAGGCGGCUACCUGGUCUGCAACUGACGCUGAGACUCGAAAGCAUGGGUAGCGAACAGGAUUAGAUACCCUGGUAGGCUAGC
rnacentral:rRNA from 1 species